UUGUGGAGACGUCGCUGCCGUG
rnacentral:siRNA from 1 species